rnacentral:snoRNA from 1 species
GUCCAGAGCUACUGGUCUACAGUUCUUCUUAGUGGUAGCAGUUGUAGCAUUCUUCUGUGGGAAAAAAUGUCACACAAUUAAACUACCUCUUCCCUAGCCCAAUGGAAAGUGGUAUAUGUGAGACAGACAUAA